rnacentral:misc_RNA from 1 species
AAAGUCGUAACAAGGUUUCCGUAGGUGAACCUGCGGAAGGAUCAUUAACGAAUAAACGUGGCAGAUUGUAGCUGGCCCUUUCGAGGGUAUGUGCACAUCAGUCAUUUUUAUCUUUCCACCUGUGCACCUCAUGUAGACCUAGAGGAUUAGAACUGCAAGCUUAUCAAUCUGAGGUAAAACUCAGUCGUGAGGAGUUGUAGGCACUUCAAGUGUCAGCUCUCCUUGUUGUAGGCUCUGUUCUCUAGGAUCUAUGCUUUCACACACCCCAUUUAAAAAUCAUCAGAAUGUAUUCAAUGGGUCUUUGUACCUAUAAAAACUAUACAACUUUCAGCAACGGAUCUCUUGGCUCUC